AGAGGGAGCCUGAGGCCCUGGGGACCGGAGACUCAGUCAUGAGGGAAGGCCUGAGGAGGAGCAGGAGUACAGUGAAGACCUCUGGCUUUUUCCAUUCUCCAGAUGAAGCCUCUGCAGGCAAAACCAAGUGAGCCUCCAGUAUCUUCUGCUGACAAAACACAUCAUCAAGCCAGCUGGCACAGGAGAAAUAUCAUCUUUAGAGUCCAGUUCCAGAAUCACCAAGCAGAGCAAAGCAAUCACGAAGGUAGUAAAUGUACAACUGGAACGAAAGUGAACAGAGUGUUUGAACAAGAUGACUCUAAGGUGGCUUCCAGGACACAGAUGAAGAGGGAAGAGAACAUGUGGGUCCCGGGCCUUACAAGGGUCUACGGUGGCCUCCCUCCCUGUGGCCUGCCUGCUCCCUGCCCUGGAAGCAAGAAGCCUGCCCCCAUCUGAACAGGACGCCAUGAGGCAGUGGGGUCCUCAGGUCCUCCACGCAAGCCUUCCUGACCUGGGGCCGUGAGCCCAGCCACGCCCAGCUAGCAUCCCGCAGACAUCCCUGCUGCGGCCCGUCUCUCCCCCGACCCGCCACACACCCGAGCCACACCAUCCUCUCUUCUUUGUACAGUCCUGGCUUUUGAGCUGCUCAGGCCUCCUGCAGACUGAGUCCCUCUGAGGAUGACCUUGCCAGCAGAAGUGAUGGAGAGCUACCCUCUUCUUAAAGCUCUGCCCUGCCUCUUGGUUAGAAGCAAAGCCAACAGCAACAAUCAAGACUGAAAAACCAAAAACGUUUUAUUAGAAUUAACGUCACCUGUCUUGUUUUCCUUUUUAAUAUGACUCCUAAAUGAUCUUAAACUACAUACUUGGUUAUUGUACAUCUCGAACAUCCUGGGUCUCGAGACUCAGAAUCACCUUCUGCCUGGGCCACUUCCCUGCUGAGCAUCUCUAGAAGAACUGCAGCCUUUUCUGGGGUUAGUGACCUCUGAAUAAAAUAGAGACCCAAUGAGCUGUCCUCACAUCCCUCCCAGUCCACUCCUAAGGGCCUUGAUCUGAAGAGAGCCAGGGACACACCCUACUUUUGUAGGGGUGAAUCUUAGCUUUCUCUUUCUUAUUUUUCACUUCACCCUUCAAUAUAAAAAUAAGAACAGACUAUGAGAGUCAGUGCCUCUGUCUGCUCAGCUGGUAGCUCUGGUGGUGGUUUUUCCAAUACCAUAUCCUUCAGGGACUAGAAGUCAUUCCAAAUGAGAGCAAAGUCCCAUGAUGGCCACCAACCUAUGUUGCUCUAAAAGCCUUUGCCCACCACCCCAGUUUAUUCCUCUUUUCAAGGAAUCGCCACCUGGAACCCUUAGCCCCUCCUUUUGCUCUUCUCCCUACUUGUGUUCUC